GACAGAGGUGCCGAGCGUUAGGCGGAAUCACUGGGCUUAAAGCGUGUGUAGGCGGACUUAUAAGUCAGUGGUGAAAUCUCCAGGCUUAACUUGGAAACUGCCAUUGAUACUAUCAAUCUUGAAUACCGUGGAGGUCAGCGGAAUAUGUCAUGUAGCGGUGAAAUGCUUAGAUAUGACAUAGAACACCAAUUGCGAAGGCAGCUGGCUACACGAAUAUUGACACUGAUGCACGAAAGCGUGGGGAUCAAACAGG
rnacentral:rRNA from 1 species